rnacentral:rRNA from 1 species
UGCUAAUACCGGAUAACAACACUAGACGCAUGUCUAGAGUUUAAAAGAUGGUUCUGCUAUCACUCUUGGAUGGACCUGCGGUGCAUUAGCUAGUUGGUAAGGUAACGGCUUACCAAGGCAAUGAUGCAUAGCCGAGUUGAGAGACUGAUCGGCCACAUUGGGACUGAGACACGGUCCAAACUCCUACGGGAGCAGCAGUC